rnacentral:rRNA from 1 species
UACGUAGGGUGCAAGCGUUUGUCCGGAAUUAUUGGGCGUAAAGAGCUCGUAGGCGGUCUGUCGCGUCGGCUGUGAAAACCCGGAGCUCAACUCCGGGCCUGCAGUCGAUACGGGCAAACUGGAGUUCGGCAGGGGAGACUGGAAUUCCUGGUGUAGCGGUGAAAUGCGUAGAUAUCUGGAGGAACACCGGUGGCGAAGGCGGCGUCCUGGACCAACACUGACACUGAUGAGCGAAAGCCAGGGGAGCAAACGGG